GACGAACGCCGGCGGCGUGCCUAAUACAUGCAAGUCGAGCGGACCGGAUUGGGGCUUGCCUUGAUUCGGUCAGCGGCGGACGGGUGAGUAACACGUGGGCAACCUGCCCGCAAGACCGGGAUAACUCCGGGAAACCGGAGCUAAUACCGGAUAACACCGAAGACCGCAUGGUCUUCGGUUGAAAGGCGGCCUUUGGGCUGUCACUUGCGGAUGGGCCCGCGGCGCAUUAGCUAGUUGGUGAGGUAACGGCUCACCAAGGCGACGAUGCGUAGCCGGCCUGAGAGGGUGACCGGCCACACUGGGACUGAGACACGGCCCAGACUCCUACGGGAGGCAGCAGUAGGGAAUCUUCCGCAAUGGGCGAAAGCCUGACGGAGCGACGCCGCGUGAGCGAAGAAGGCCUUCGGGUCGUAAAGCUCUGUUGUGAGGGACGAAGGAGCGUCGUUCGAAGAGGGCGGCGCGGUGACGGUACCUCACGAGAAAGCCCCGGCUAACUACGUG
rnacentral:rRNA from 1 species